AAGGGCACCACAAGAACGCGUGGAGCAUGUGGCUUAAUUUGACUCAACGCGGGAAAUCUUACCGGGUCCGGACACACUGAGGAUUGACAGGUAUUAUUGUAUAUACACUCACUCGUGAGUCAGUAUAUACAUGUUAAAUAUGCUAGUCCUUUCAUGAUUAUGUGAUAGGUGGUGCAUGGCCGUUCUUAGUUCGUGGAGUGAUCUGUCUGCUUAAUUGCGUUUCACUAAGGAUCUAUACAUUUACGUGUGUAGCGUGCUUACUUUGACCCCUCUUUCGAGAGCGCGUGUCUUUGUUCGCUUAGCUCGCACAAUUAGAUCCUGAAAGCAACGAACGUGACCGCAACCUCUUGUUGCCUUUUAUACCACACAGUACAUUUUAGAUACUUACCAUAUCUAUUUUACUGCAAAAAGGCUUUUUUUAUAAACUAGAGGGACCGCUGUUACUUUCUUAAACCAGAGGAAGGUUGCGGCAAUAACAGGUCUGUGAUGCCCUUAGAUGUUCCGGGCUGCACACGUGCUACAAUGAUUAUUGCAGUGAGCAUCUCAUUUUGAUUUACACCGCUUGCGCGGGCAUUUCAUAUUUUUAUCUCACUCUCACGGGUGUAUAUUUUUAUGUUUUGCUCUGCGCGCGGUAAAGCCUGCUUCGACAGUAAGUGGGUAAUCAAUUAGAAGUAAUGAUUUCCUUUUUUUUCCAGCACAUAUAUAUACGGCAUUUAUACCCGGGUUAUACUUCGGUAUAACUUCUGUGCGUGUAAAUGAUUAAUAUUAUUGUUCGCGCAAUUUUAUUUUUUCAACCGUAUGUGCAAUUGUCAAUUCAUGGUGGGGACAGACCAUUGUUAAUUGUUGGUCUCGGUCUUAACUAGGAAUGCCUUGUACGGGUCUUUGGUUCAACAAACCACCCGGAAUACGUCCCUGCCCUUUGUACACAUCGCCCGUC
rnacentral:rRNA from 1 species